AAGAAAGAAAGAAAAUUUAUUUAUUUCUAACACACACAGAAACAACACAUACAUUUACAAGAAAAAGUUUAUAAAGUAAAUAAAAAAAUAAGUAAUUAAAAGAAUGUUGCUUCUCGGUGCUGAAAUGGGUUCUAGUUCAGCUUGAUGCUAUGGCAGGUACUAAACCACACCAUAGCGCUGGUUUUCAACUAGAACCCCUGGGUGAAGUCACGGACUGACUUGACAUACAAAAAAAAAAACAUAAAAAAUAACAAACAGAAUAAAAAACAGUAACAUAUACUUAUAUGCUUAAACAAAGCGUCUCGGUCGUCGCGUCGAGACCAUAAAACUAAUAAUUAGGUCAAAGGGGGACGGGCGGGGGAAGGGAGGGCAAGCGCGCUUCUGCCUCGCGGCGCGUCGAGCCUUUUUCAGUCUGAAAAUGUCUCCCACGGCCGGAGCACGUCCGUGCGGCCAGCACCCCACCCCCCGCGGAGCCCCGAAGCGCCCGCGCAACCAGUUUUUCAACUUUGCCACUGGUAAACAAUGUGUGCAACAAGUAGUUAAUACGCUUGUUUUGCGUGUAGUAGUGAAGGAGACCGACUAGUUACAUACUUUAAACUAUGAAUUGCUACGCAGAGCAUACACAGAGUACAAUUGGAAACUAUAAACCAUGGUGAGAUUGAUAUUUUGUCAAAGUGCACUACUUUGUCAAUUUUUUGGGUAUAAGUACCUACGCUAUAUAAUGGUUUACGUUGGCUGACUACUUCAAAAUACCUACAUCUUUUCUUUGCCUACCAAGCUUCAAAUGGCUUUAUACCUACCAUGCACGGAGUGCGGCUGCUUUGCAAGGCUUGGAGGCUGUGCUCGCUUGGGACAACUUUACCUUCUGGCUUAUCGUGAUAAACAUAAAGGCACGUAUCGGAGGGGGCAAGUUGUUCCAGCACUUACUAGCAGCAUACUUGAAGGAACCACGGAAUGCUGCUGUUUUGAAGCUUGGCGUCACCAGCAUAUACGAAGAAGCACGCGUGUUAUGCCUGUUGUGAGUACUAGACCAGUCUAAUUUAGUAUAGAGGUAGUCAGGAGAACGUGUUUUAAUAAUUUUAAAUAAUAGGGUUGCAAAAUGUAGUUGUCUUCUGGCCUGUAAUUUUAACAAAUUUGAAUUAUUGAGGUAAGGGGUAACAUGCGCGCGUGGAGCUAUGUUGAAGCAAAAACGAGCGCACGCAUUUUGCACCCUUUGAAUAAGUUUCUGCGUUCGCGCCAGUAGACAUGGGCCGUAUACUGUGUCUGCAUAGUUAAGUUUAGAAAGAAUUAAUGUUUCGCAAACUUUUAUUCUUAGGUCUGUGUUUAGGUAAGGACGAAUAUUGUAAAGUAUUUUGAUCUUAUAAAAACAAUUUCUUAUAAUGUCUAACAGAUGCGACUCAAAACGAAGAUGUUGAUCAAACUUUACUCCUAAAUUGCGUGCUUCUCGCACACGCUCUAUACUGUUUCCUUUAAUUCUUAUAUCUGGCUGUAGGUUUUCAAUAUUUUCAAUCUGUUUUUUACUUCCUAUUAUCAUAAAUUUUGAUUUCAAGGGGUUAAGGACCAAAGAGUUCCUUGACGACCAGUCCGCUACGCGGUCUAAAUCAUCAUUUAUUUUUUGUAUAACUGACUCAAAAUUGUCCGGUGAACACGAUAAAUAUAAUUGUAAAUCAUCGGCGUAUAUAUGGUAGUUGCAAUUGUUUAUGAUUUUUGUAAUAUCGGUACAGUAUAGAAUAAAAAGUAUAGGGCCAAGUAUGGAACCUUGCGGAACUCCUCGGUUAACAGGAAAAGGACAAGACUUCACAGUAAUACCAUCACUUCUUCUUAGCUCCACUAUCUGUGAUCU